rnacentral:rRNA from 1 species
ACCAGACUCCUACGGGAGGCAGCAGUGGGGAAUAUUGGGCAAUGGGCGCAAGCCUGACCCAGCAACGCCGCGUGAAGGAAGAAGGCUUUCGGGUUGUAAACUUCUUUUCUCAGGGACGAAGCAAGUGACGGUACCUGAGGAAUAAGCCACGGCUAACUACGUGCCAGCAGCCGCGGUAAUACGUAGGUGGCAAGCGUUAUCCGGAUUUACUGGGUGUAAAGGGCGUGUAGGCGGGGACGCAAGUCAGAUGUGAAAACCAUGGGCUCAACCUGUGGCCUGCAUUUGAAACUGUGUUUCUUGGGUACUGGAGAGGCAGACGGAAUUCCUAGUGUAGCGGUGAAAUGCGUAGAUAUUAGGAGGAACACCAGUGGCGAAGGCGGCCUGCUGGACGACAACUGACGGUGAGGCGCGAAAGCGUGGGGAGCAAACAGGAUUAGAUACCCCCGUA